CAAACACUAAUCCCACUAUUCUCUUAACAGCCGCAUCUCUCUUUCUCCCUCUUCCUCUCUUUCUUUCUCUGUCAAAUAGCAAAAGUUGCUGCCCGUCACCGUAUUUAGUGAGACGCCGGAGCAGUCGCGUCCCUUCGCCGGCCUCCUAUCUCCGCUCUCGCGUCUCCAGCGGUGGCAAUACCCAUCAGCCACUGCUCCAGCGUCGACUCCAUCUCUGUCGCUCAACCGGCGAAAUCAACAGCCAACUCCACCGUUGGCCACCAAAUCCGAACCAGCCGCCACAACAGCCAAAUUCGGCCGCCGUACCAUCAUUUUGGCCAGCGAAAUCAGUCUUACCGGUGGAAGCCAACCAUGGACGAUGAAUCUCCAACCAACACCGCCAUUGCUCCACCCAUUUCCAAUUAAAAAAUCAGUCCAUUACCAUCGUCACUCCGUUAAAUGUCAACGGAAGAAUCUUAAGUACAUGACGAAUUCACAUGUGAAUUCGUUUUAGGUUUGAUUUCUUUUUUCAAGUUUCGCCAAAAACCCUUUAUGUUGAUUAUUUUUGUUUUGAUUAUUUUUGUUUUACUGAUUCUGUGAUUUGAAAUUAGUGAAAUUUGAUUUUUUUAAUUUUGAUUUGACUCUUUGAUUUCCUGCUUAUUUUUAGUCUUUAAUUGACAUAUGCUAAGUCCAUUAUCGUUUGUUUGGCAAUACUAUUGUUGAAUCAUGAUCUUAGUAAUAUAAUAGUUUAAGUGUAGGUACUUGAAAACUAAAAUUUAGGAAGAGUUUGCCUGAUGAAUGUGAAUCUAGCUACAUUUUUUCGCAUUUAAACUAUCAUCUCUACCAUUUUAGGGACCUAGCUGUUAGUAUAGCUACCAGUCAUCUUCAAUAAUUUCCUUACAUCUAACUAAACUGCUGCAUUGCCUUCGACAACUCAUAGUUAAGAGUUAUUGAUGAAAAGGUGAAUACGAGAUUUUAAUCACGUACUGGCCGAUUAGUGCUGUAUCCAUUAAUUAAUCUUUUACACAGUUGAAUUUUGCUUAGCAAUUAUUUUAAAGCUGUUUGAAUCUAAAGAGUGUUGUCGGGUGUAUGAGCUAGGCUGUUCUGUUCUGAUUGUUCUAGGAGACAUCCUUAUCACAUGAAAAGCUAUGAAAUGUGAGUCAUUAGUCCUGUAUCUUCUUUUUACAUGUUAAUAUUCCUUUAACUGGAACUUGGAAGGAUAGUACUCUCCUUCUAGCAUGAUAUUGCAUAAACAAUAUCUUGAUUUGGUCAGUUCUAUACUUCUAUUAGUUGACAACAUAGGAUUUUCCAAUUUUGCUUAAGAGUGCCCUUUCCUUUGAAAUGUGGACUUGUGUUUUGAAUUUAGUUAAGUGUGGUCACUUGAGAAGUGAAUAAGUACUUGAAAUGUUUAACCGUAGUUACUUGAAAUGUGGACUUGUGUUUUGAAUUUAGUUAAGUGUGGUCACUUGAGAAGUGAAUAAGUACUUGAAAUGUUUAACCGUAGUUACUUGAAAUGUGGACUUGUGUUUUGAAUUUAGUUAAGUGUGGUCACUUGAGAAGUGAAUAAGUACUUGAAAAUGUUUAAGUGUAGGUACUUGAAAUGUGGAGUUGUGUUUUAAUUUUAGUAAAGUGUGGUCACUUGAGAAGUGAGUUAAUGACUUGAAAAUGUUCAAGUGUAGGUACUUGAAAUGUGGACUUGUGUUUUGAAUUUAGUUAAGUGUGGUCACUUGAGAAGUGAAUAAGUACUUGAAAAUGUUUAAGUAUAGUUACUUGAAAUGUGGACUUGUGUUUUGAAUUUAGUAAAGUGUAGUCACUGGAGAAGUGAAUUAGUGACUUGAAAAUGUUUAAGUGUAGGUACUUGAAAUGUGAACUUUUAUUUUGAAUUAAGUUUAGUUUGAUAACUUGUGAAGUGAAUUAGUGACUUGAAAAUGUUUUGGUGUAGGUACUUGAAUUGUGAACUCUUUAUUUUGAAUUUAGUUUAGUUAGGUAACUUGUGAAGUGAAUUGAUGUCUUGAAAUGUUUAAGUGUAGUUACUUGAAUUAUGAAUUAGUGACUUUUGUUUUAAAUUUAGGCACUUGAAAUGUGAACUUGCGUUUUGAUUUUAGUAAAGUGUGGUCACUUGAGAAAUGAAUUAGUGACUUCAAAAUGUUUAACUGUAGAUAUUUGAAACGUGAACUUUUCAUUUUGAAUUAAGUUUAGUUUGGUAACUUCUGAAGUGAAUUAGUGACUUGAAAAUGUUUAGGUGUAGGUAUUUGAAAUGUGAACUUUUGUGACUUGAACUAAUUACUUGAAUGUGAUUGAUUGUGUAGAUGAAACCUGAUUAUAGUUGGAUGUAUCAACGAAAUAUUAAUAAUAAAAUGGGUGAGGCUGAGAAUGAAGAUGCGGAUGAUGAGUUGUAUUUUUUAGUCUUUUGUAUGUUUUAUAGUUUGGAUUUGGAAUCUCGAUAAAUUUUGUAAAUAAUUUGAUUUUUAAUGUUUGUAUUCUUAUGGUGGUUGGUUGAUUGUAUAUUAAAUGUUUGGCGGACUGUAUUGUAAAUAAUUUGAUUUUUAAUGUUUUUAAAUGAUUGGUGGGCUGUAUUGUAAAUAAUUUAAUUUUUAAUUUUGUAAAUAAUUUGAUUUUUAAUGUUUGUAUUUUGGAAAUUUUUAAUAUGUGGUCGAUUUUUAAAAAUAUUUUUUGAAAACGGACCACAAGUGGUCGAUUUUUUAUUUAAAUUAAAUAAUUAAUUUAUAAAAGAAUCGACCACAUGUGGUCGGUUUAAUUUAAAUUAAUUAUUUAAUUUAAAUGCACAACCAACCACAUGUUGUCGGGUUUUUUAUAAAUUAAUUCAAAUAAAAAACUGACCACAUGCGAUUGAUUUUUUUUAUAAAUUAAUUAAUUAAUUUUAUUAAAAAUGACACGAGUGGUCGUUUUUAUUUAAAUUAAUUAAUUAAUUUAAAUAAAAAAUCGACCACUCGUGGUUGGUUUUAUUAAUAUUAAUUAGUUAAUUUAAAAUAAAACCGACCACGAGUGGUCGGUUUAUUUUGAAUUUUUUAAUUUUUAAACUUAUUUUUUUCUAUUUUAAUAAAAUAAUAAUGAAUUUUAAAAAUAUAUAUAUAUUUUUAAAAAAACUAAUCACACGUGGUCGAUUUUUAAAAAGCUACCACUAUUUUAUCAACCACAAGUAGUUGGUUUUCCUUUUUUUUUUUUUAAUAGUGAAUCUUAUCAAAGUCUUCCCUUUUUCACCUUUUCCCCAAUUUUGUAAGUAAUUUUGUAAAAAGUUAAUUCCUAUUAUGUAUAGUUUGAUUUCGAGACGGUGGGUGUACAUAUAACCAUUAUUUACUCGAUCGGCCUUUUUUGGGUUAGCAUGCAACCCGGUGGGGGAUAUUAUAGCGCAUCCUGAACUAAAUUUGUGAUGUUCCAGAAUUAUAGUAGUUUCUAAGCAUAUUUUGCCGAAUUUGUGCCAAAAGCAUAUCAAAAUACUUUGCCCUGUUUACCGAAAAAAAAAAAAAUACUUUGCCCUGGAUUAAGAAAGAUACAUAUAUGUAUGUUUACAGUUGAUAGGAGAGACUAACAAACUUGAAUAUUUAUGUAAUUAUAAAUUAUUUCAUUUAGAAUAAAACAAGAAAAAAGUUGAGCUAUUUUUAUUUAUGAAAAUAGGACGUUUUUUAUGGAAACAUUAUAAAAAAAGAGAGAGGUUGUAGCAUGAAGUGAAACAUAGAGAGAAUAUACAUUCUUUAUGGUAACAGACUAAAAAGAGAAAAGUUGCCACAUCAAGUGAAACAUGGAUAAAAUAGUAUAUGACAGUAGUGAGUAGUGACCAAGAGGUUAGUGAAAUUCGAAUGUGGUAUUUCGUUUGGAAUUAGUUGUGAUAUUUGAAGAUUACAUGUAGGUGGAACCAAGAUCGAUAUAUUCAUAGGUACUCAAUUUGGUAAAUUGCAAUAGAUGGUUUUUCUUUGGGGGUGUGUGUGUGGGGGGCGGGGGUGGUGGUGGUGGUGGUUGUGGUGCAUGCAUGUUGCCCUUAUUUAUAGUGGUACUUCACUUUUUAUUCCUUCUUUCAAAAAUAUUCCUUCUUUCAAAAAAUGGGUGUGUGGACCACUAUCUAAUUAAUCAUGUUCAUGAUUAGUGUCCAAAGCAAAUGGAAAGGGAUAUAUUAGACACCGAAGAACUCAUUAGCUCUUAUUUUUUUCAGUUACCUUUAUUUUUCUUUUGUGAAGGAUAGCUUUUUCUUUAAUGGCAAUUGGUAAAUAUAUACUAUUUCUCGUUUCUCAUUAAAUAUUGACAAAUAAAUUUCAUAUCCAUCCCCAUUCCAUAAGUCUACAUCUAAGGAGUCGUUUGGUGUGAGGUAUUAAAACAAAUUAUUUCGGGAUAAAAUAAUAGUUUCGAGAUAAACUUUUUAAUACAUCGUUUGGUUUGGCCAUACUCGGAAUAACUUAUCCCAGGACUAAUAAUAGUCCCGGGAUAAGUUUUACCAUAUAUUUGGUGGUAUAAGUUAUCCCACCUUAAUUUAUCCUUGGAUAAAAUUAUAAAAUGACAAAUAACCUCCAAAUCCAUUACAAACACAUUGCUUCAAUCUUUUUCAUCUCCUCUUAGUUCUUCAAUCUCUAAAUAUUGCUUUUGAAAUUGAAAAAAGAUUAUUGAUAUCUACUUUAUUAUCUAAAAUGCGUUAUGUAUGAAAAAUUAAAAAGACUAAAAUAUCUUAUUUUGAAACGACGAAAAUAUAUGACUAAGAAGAAUUAACCUCUUAUUGAUUGAAUUUUGCAUUUUUUUCAUCCCAUUGCUUGUAAAUUUUAUAAAUUUAUACGCUAUUUUCUUAUAUAAAGGAUCAAAAUGCAAAAUUAACAAAUUAAAAAUUAAAAUAUAUUAGAUUCAUACAUAAUAAGGAUCAAAACUAGGUACUAUAAUUUUUUAUAUAUCCAACAAAAUAUAGGUACUAUAAUUUUUUAAGCAUAGAAAAACGAAAUUCAACAUCAACUUUUUCCUUCCAAGUGUUAUUUUUGUGAAUUGAUAACACAAAAAGUUCUUAUUACACAAUGAAAAGAUUAAUUAAAGUAAGUAGAUUUUAUAAUAAUAAUUAUCAUUCACCGGUAAUCUGUAAAAUAUUUUAGCAACUACAAAUGCAUUGCCUAGCUUUAAUACACAUUAUCGUUUUACAAUCGACUCUAUUGUUCAAUUACAUAUUUUAAAUUAAAUAGUUUUUUAAUCACUUGAAAAUUGAUAUUGUAUAUAUCAUUUAAAGUAAAUUUUAAUAUUCUAUGAUAUGAGUAAUAUGUGUUUAAAUGAAAUGACAUAGAUGGCGAAUCUUCUUUUACUUUAACAAACUUAAGUUGUAAGUUUUUAUUUCAAACUAAAUAAGAUGUAGUAAGAUUUUUUUUUUCAAACACACACGGCAUAAUCAUGGGAAGACACAUAAAAAAAAUUAAAGUUAAUAAGAUGAAAGUUUUAUUUUUAAAAUACACACGAUAUAAUCAUGAAAAUGCACAUAAAAAAAAAUUAAAGUUAAUAAGAUGAAAGUUUUAUUUUUAAAAUACACACGAUAUAAUCAUGAAAAUGCACACACAAAAAAAUUAAGCUAAAUAAGAUGAACGUUUUAUUUUUAAAAAUAAAUAUUUGAAACUUGAAAAGAAAUAUAUAUAAAUUAAAAAGAAGUAAAAUAAGAUGGGGAUAUUUUGGUAAUCAAUUAAUUUAUUCUUAGAAAUUAUACUAUGCAUAUUACUUUGAAAACAACAAACCAAACACUCAAUAAAAAUAAUCCCAACAUAACUAAUCCCAGUAUAACUUAUCCCAUCAUAACUUAUCCUAACAUAACAAAUCCUAAUAUAACUACAUUCUCAACCAAACGAUCCUAAAUGUUGAACUAGAUUCCCACGUAGAUUUUCAUAUGGACGUUUUACUGCCGACUUGUAUUUACUUACCUUUAAAAAAUAAAGAGGAGCCAAUAUAAAUAAAAGAAAAUCUUGGACAAAGGUAUUGGUAGAGAUAAUAGCACGUGAAGGUUAUCCAUAGCUUGAUGAAAUUUAGUUUGUCUAGAACUAGAACUCUUAUGUAUUGGAUAGCUAAUUGUAAUCAAUUAGAUUAAAAUCAAAUGUUUUCCCUCUAGUAGUACUCUAUCUAUGUAUGGACGUUUAUCUUUGUCUAUGAAUGGAGCUUGCCUACUCAUGAAAUACCAGAUGCAAAUCAUGCACUUGGCUUAUUGUUUCAGAAUUGACAUUCUAUCAUCUAUAAAAUAUAAUUCACGUGUGAGUGUUAAAUGCUCAGACGAACCUGACAAAUCUACUAGCUAGUAUCCACAUUCAAGUAACAAGUAUAGUAGAAAUUAGUACCAUUUAUGAAUAUCCAUCUAUAUUUUACAUAUUUGAUUCUUUUGGGUAGAAAAUUCAAAUUGCCAAACUAAAUAUCACUCAAAUUCCAACGUGAUAAAAUAAGAGGAAGAGCAAAGCAAUGAAAUAUACAUCAGCGGUCGAUUCUAGCGCAGUCAGAUAAACACUGAAUUGACUAAAGAAUGUUGAAUGAAGCAAAGCCAAAUAUUAACUAGUCUUCCUUUUGAGUAGAAAGCAAAAGCUUUCUUCACCUUUUACUUUUCCACUACUCACAAGCUUACCAUCACUUACAAAAUUAAGAUGAAAAAGAAGAAAGUAGGGCCGGCCUCAUUUAAUAUGAUACAAUUACUAGCUACUAAAAGAAUCAAAUAAUAUUUUUACUACCUUUUCUUUAGAAAGUGUUAUUAUCGAACUUAUGAGCAUAAUUUUAAGUACUUUGAAACUCUCGUUGCACACUUCCAAUCCUAUCUUCGUUUUAUUAUAGAUCUCAUGUUUGUUUUUAAUACAGAGGAAGUAAAAAAAGUUCAGCAAAUAAAACGUAUGGUGGCAGUGGGAAGCAAAGGAGCAGAGGGUAUCAGAUGACACAGGCACCGACGAAAGAGGGUUUGAGAAAUUUAGUACUUCUGUUUGGAAUCAUUUGGAGCUGGAACUUGUUGCCAGUUAAGACUCCUCUUGCUUUGCCAUUUUGGUCCGCACAGCUCUCCCCUCGGAAAGGGACACUCUGGCCCAUCUUUGUCUUUUUGCGACUAAUACUCAUACACUCAUUAUAAACAAAACAAAAAAAAAAGCUUUCAUAAAUAGCUAUAAUUUGAAGCAUAAUUAUCAUUAGUAGCUAUAAUUUGGAAUGUAAUUAUCAUUAAUAGCCAUAGUUUGCGAAUUUACCAUUCGUAGCUAUUCUUUUGGUUUAGUUGUUGUAUCAUUUCGCAAAUAGGUUGUAUC
rnacentral:lncRNA from 1 species